rnacentral:hammerhead_ribozyme from 1 species
AUCCAGCUGAAGAGUCUCAAAUGAAACGAAAUGAGUGUCUUGGAU